UUUGUUAACAGCCUGAUGAGCUUGGGAAUGAUCAUUGCUACCUGAAAUGAAUGAGCUGUGCAAAUGGAAGAUAUUCUCAGGGCUCAUGACCACACCUGAAGCAGCAGUGUGAUGGAGGCAGCAAAAUGUGUGGAACCGUCAUUAUGAAGAAGGCAAUGCUCUCCUGCACCAGGGAGCUCUUCACCCCACAACUACAGAGCUCCUGUCUUCCAAGGUUCCCGAACUGUUCUGGGAAGUGCUCCUAAUCACCUGAGGUUUACAUACAAACAACCCCAGGACAUUUCAUUUAGCUACCAAUGUCAUGAUUACCAAAAAUUAAUUAACAAUAUGGUGGUCGUCAUCACAUCUGAGUCACCAAAUCAAAAUUCAGGACACAUUUCCAUGCAAAGUGCAGCCUUCUUCUUACGUUUCAUAAUUGUCAUUUCAAAUGAGAUCUUGGUUGGAAACAAUUGCUUAACUGUUUCAAGGUAUACUGGGUUAUCACUAACUCAUUUCUGUAAAGCAGAAUACAAGACCUCAACCUGUUAGAGAUCCUUUGUUGAUUAACAAGCUGAUUAAUAAGCUGAUUGUUCUCCUGAUUUAAGGCCUAUACCAAAAUUCUUGAAGCUCAAUUUGCACCACAGAGUACGCCAAUAUGUUUGAGUGAACUGGCUCUGGCUCUCCGAAGCUGUUUUGUAAAGACAAGAGACUAUAAGCCAUGGUUCCCAGUCAAUUGUCCACCUACACUGAGGUCAGAUCUUCCCCAUUCAGUCUACCGACUCACACAUCAAUCUUCUCUGGAAAACAUCCUCACAGAAACAUCCAGAAACAAUACUUUACCAGUUGUCUAGGUAUACCUUAAUCCAGUCAAGCUGACAUCUCAAAUUAGCCACCACAAAUACAUUUUUUUUCCAAAAUAUCUAGGCACUACUAGAUAAGCAUAUUUUUAAAAUGUUUUCUUCCCACUGUGUAAACUUAGAAAAUAAUAGAGAGAUUUACAAAGCUAUGCUAUAUUCACGAUCCAUUAAAAUAAUAUAUAUUUUAUGAGAGAGACUUUUGCUGCUACCAACAUUCCAAAACCCUCUUUACCUCAAACAAUGUUAAAGAUGGUAUUUGUUUAAUAUUGGAAAAGGAUUAUGCCACAACCACUUAAUCAAAAUCUUGUUUAGUGUCAGUAUCUAUUCAAUUUUGCAUGUCCCAGCUUGAUGGAAACUAACUACCUCACAGCACUCCAUAAAUAUUUAUAUCGUAAUCCAUUAUUGAUAUCUUACAAACAUUUUACUAUAGCUUGCUAAUGGCUGCAACAUGACAGUUCUGGAUGGAACUGAACAAUUAUUUUAAUUUUAUUUCCAUAGGAGAUGCUUUGCACAUGUAAAAACAAAAAUGCCAGUUUAAUUGGGGUACUUACUACCAACACAAAACAAAAGCAUAGUAUCUAAAAUCAAGUCCUGAAAAUGAAUGAAAAAAUGUUUUCAAGAAUUUUUUAACACGAAAAUUACAAUUCCCUAUUAUGUUAAAAUCUCUCACACUUGUAUUACAACCUAUCAUACUCAGAUAAUUUAUUUAAAUCUCAAAGUAUCACUAUAAUAUAGGAAAUAUUUCAAUGUUCCCACUUUCCAAAUGAAGAAAAUGAGCAGUACAGAAAACUUUAAUGACUUACGCAAAGGCACACAGCUAUCUGGGACUAAAAUAAGAGCUUUUGCCUCUUAUGCUCAUGACACCAAUAACUUAGCCUCUUGCCACAAGUGUAUCCUCCUUUAUAUAUAUUUCUUACCUUACACAUAUGCUAAAAGCUUCACCUGUAUGACAUAUAUAAAAUUAUUCUUGUACACCUCCUAAAUGAAGGUAUACAAGCCAUCCUAAUAUGUACCUAGUGUGUGAGUUUAUUUCAGUCUUUACUCAUCUGUUUUCUGUUUUAGACUGUCAGUUCACUGAACCAGAGUUAGUAUUUUUGAAAAGCAGGAUAGGUAGUUUUCAGCAUCAGAUGGAUAAAGAUGAGGUCAAGUCAAAAAGAGCAGCAUGUGUGCAGAACGUGAGAGCAACAGAGGAAACAGACCUGUAGGUGUUCAGAUUCUAAAUCUGCCAUUUACUCGUCGUGUGAUAGUCAAUAACUUAUUUUCCUGAAGCAUCAGUAUUAAAUGAGGUAAUGUAAUAUAAGUGCUUAGCACAAGCAUAACACAGAGUAAAUUUUCAGUUAAUUAAAUGAUAAUUGAUGCUUUUACACACAAAAAAAACCACUUAUUGUAUUUAGAGUUUAUAACAAAGAGAGCUAUUUAUUAUCUGUUCAAGGAAAGAAGAUUUAUGUAUUAUUAUUCCUAUUAAAGAUUAUACCAUCUCAUGUAUUGUGAAAGCUGACCAGUAGUGGUGAAAAGUCUUCCCAUAUGUAUAAUCCUUUAUAAAACAUAUUUAUUUCCAUUUUUCAUUUGAGCCACUGAAAAGUUCUGUGAAUUUAGUUUAUUUUUUAUCAUCAUCAUCAUCAUCAUUUCCAUACUUAAAUUGAGCAGACUGAGUUUAGAAGAGGUAAAGUAAUAGGCUCAAAUUCUUUCACCCAAUCUCUACACCAAAUCAGUUGCCAGCAUGUUUCUCAUUUUCUGAAUUUUUGAUAGUGCUGGAUGUAAAACCUGACAUGAGUUGUAUAGCAACAAAUAACCACAAUAAAAUCAUCAGCCAGGUUUCUUUUAAGCUCCCACAAUCCCAUCAUGUUCAUUAAUUUUUAACAUAAUUCACUUUAAACAGAAUUUUCUAAUGGGUAAGAAAGAGUUAGGAGGGUAUUCACCAAGACAUCUUUUGUCAGCCUAUGGCAAACCAGUUUAAUUUAUUCUUUGGUCAACCUCAGUGCCACGUUUUCAGUUAUUUUUUAAGACUACCACAACGGACUUGUAGACAUGUGUUUGAAAAAAUGUGAUUCUCAAUUCACAAUAGCAUAAUGAAGAGGUAAUAGUACUGAAAAGAAAUCAGAAGCAUUCCCUUUAGCCAGUUAUCAAGAUGCAAUAUAGAAAUAUGAUUAUGGGCCGGGCGCGG
rnacentral:lncRNA from 1 species